GAGUUUGAUCCUGGCUCAGGACGAACGCUGGCGGCGUGCUUAACACAUGCAAGUCGAGCGGUAAGGCCCUUCGGGGUACACGAGCGGCGAACGGGUGAGUAACACGUGAGCAAUCUGCCCUCCACAUCGGGAUAACCCCCGGAAACGGGAGCUAAUACCGGAUACGACCACUUCAGGCAUCUGAUGGUGGUGGAAAGUUCUGGCGGUGGAGGAUGAGCUCGCGGCCUAUCAGCUUGUUGGUGGGGUAAUGGCCCACCAAGGCUUCGACGGGUAGCCGGCCUGAGAGGGUGACCGGCCACACUGGGACUGAGACACGGCCCAGACUCCUACGGGAGGCAGCAGUGGGGAAUAUUGGACAAUGGGCGAAAGCCUGAUCCAGCAACGCCGCGUGAGGGAUGACGGCC
rnacentral:rRNA from 1 species